UGCGUAGGCGGAACGAUUAGUCAGUGGUGAAAUCCUACGGCUCAACUGUAGAAUUGCCAUUGAAACUGUCGCUCUUGAGUAUAGUUGAAGUGGGCGGAAUGUGUCAUGUAGCGGUGAAAUGCAUAGAGAUGACACAGAACACCAAUCGCGAAGGCAGCUCACUAAACUAUAACUGACGCUCAGGCACGAAAGCGUGGGUAGCGAACAGGAUUAGAUACCCUGGUAGUCC
rnacentral:rRNA from 1 species